GAAGGAGGAUAGAAUCACUUCCACAAUCAGAGAAAGUGUAGCGGUAACAUGUUGUGUAGAUACCAAAGCCGAGACUUCAUCUGCUAAAUGAAACUUAUUUAACAGGAGUAAAAAAUUCCAGGAGGGCUGAAUUCUGCCUUGCAUGCAGGAUCCUCUUUACUUCUUUUUCCAAGGUUCUCUUGUGUCAGCAUUUUGACCGGCAACCUCUACCGUGCUGUAGAUUUGAAAAGCACGAUAAUGGUGGGCGGACAGAAAAAAAAAGAGAGAGAAAGACACAGAGAAAGCAGGAAGAUAAAACAGGAGACCUCAAAAUAAUCUUGGUGGUGAUAGCUUGAAGCAAUGACAACGAUCAGACAAUUGGAGCCAACAUGGUGUAGUGGGUAGAGUGUUAUUGAACUUAGACCCUGGUUCAAUUCCACAUUAAUUCAUGAAAACUUCCUGGGUGAUCUUGGGCCCAUCACCUUCUCUUAUGCUGAACUACCUUACAAGAUUGUUGUGAGACACUGGAGAGCAGGAGAGCCCAGCAGGCAGCCUUAAACUCACUGGAAGGAAAGCUGUUAUAGAAAUGUAACAAACAAAUAAACACUUUCUAUUUGUCGAGGAGAGCCCA
rnacentral:lncRNA from 1 species